GGAACUGCUAUUGGUGGUAGCUGUGAG
rnacentral:misc_RNA from 1 species